UACAGAGGUCCCGAGCGUUGUUCGGAUUCACUGGGCGUAAAGGGCGCGUAGGUGGCGAGGUAAGUCGGAUGUGAAAGCUCGGAGCUCAACUCCGAAAUGGCAUUGGAAACUACCUUGCUCGAGGGUUGGAGGGGGGACUGGAAUACUUGGUGUAGCAGUGAAAUGCGUAGAUAUCAAGUGGAACACCAGUGGCGAAGGCGAGUCCCUGGACAACUCCUGACACUGAGGCACGAAAGCUAGGGGAGCAAACAGG
rnacentral:rRNA from 1 species